rnacentral:rRNA from 1 species
UACGGAGGGUGCAAGCGUUAUCCGGAUUUACUGGGUUUAAAGGGUGUGUAGGCGGGCUUUUAAGUCAGUGGUGAAAUCUCCGGGCUCAACCUGGAAACUGCCAUUGAUACUAUUAGUCUUGAAUUUUGUUGAGGUAGGCGGAAUAAGUCAUGUAGCGGUGAAAUGCAUAGAUAUGACUUAGAACACCAAUUGCGAAGGCAGCUUGCUAAACAAAUAUUGACGCUGAGGCACGAAAGCGUGGGGGAUCAAACAGG